rnacentral:rRNA from 1 species
AGGUCGAGUAAUAGCAUAGGAAUCUGCCCAGUAGUGGGGGAUAGCCCGGGGAAACCCGGAUUAAUACCGCAUACGCCCUUCGGGGGAAAGCAGGGGAUCUUCGGACCUUGCGCUAUUGGAUGAGCCUAUGUCGGAUUAGCUAGUUGGUGGGGUAAGAGCCUACCAAGGCGACGAUCCGUAGCUGGUCUGAGAGGAUGAUCAGCCACAUCGGGACUGAGACACGGCCCGAACUCCUACGGGAGGCAGCAGUGGGGAAUAUUGGACAAUGGGGGCAACCCUGAUCCAGCCAUGCCGCGUGUGUGAAGAAGGCUUUCGGGUUGUAAAGCACUUUCAGUGAGGAGGAAACCCUUGCGACUAAUACUCGUAAGGUUUGACGUUACUCACAGAAGAAGCACCGGCUAACUCCGUGCCAGCAGCCGCGGUAAUACGGAGGGUGCAAGCGUUAAUCGGAAUUACUGGGCGUAAAGCGCGCGUAGGUGGUUUGAUAAGCGAGAUGUGAAAGCCCCGGGCUCAACCUGGGAACGGCAUUUCGAACUGUCAGGCUAGAGUAUGGUAGAGGAGUGUGGAAUUUCCUGUGUAGCGGUGAAAUGCGUAGAUAUAGGAAGGAA